UGAUGCCAUAUCAUUUGCUGUUUCCAAAAUAACCAUUCGCUCUCUGCGAUGCUAUCGCAGAGCGGUGACCAGGUUCGGCGGCUGUAACUGUUUGUUUUCCUGCUUAUUGCUGUACCAGUCGGGCUCCCGCACUCCGGGGGGGACAGCAGUGGUUUGUAAGACACGAUUACGUGGGAUCUUUGAACGUUGGCCAAAAAAGAAAAAAAAAGAAAAAAAAGGGGCAGCAAAACGGACGCUCAGCUCUGGUGUCAUUCCAGAAACAACACGAUUUAAGAUCGCAAAAACUUCAGCAAAUCCUACAGAAUCCGCUGGUCAUUGCGGAGCCCCGAGAAACCGCACAACCCCCACCGACUGGAACAAGAUUCGGAGGUUCCCUGAAGCCCUCCACAGCCUCCGAAUAGUUCGCUCACUCACUCUCUUCGGACAAAAUACAAACCUUUCAAUUCAGUAAAUUACAAAUCACGCGAAAAAGAAAAGAAAAAUCCACCAAAAAUAGCCGAAAGGGCCAUCACCGUAGACGCGCAAUCCGUUUCCCCCUUUUUUUUUCCUUUGCAAAACAAUUCUGAGACCCCGAAGGAACUGUAAUGUGGUUUAAAAACAAAUCUUUGCCCAAUGACUGUGCGCUGUGCCCACACACCGUCGAUAAUGAAAACCCCACAAUAUUUGUCAUUCAUGUGCACGACUCGCGGGUUUGUCUCUUUUUAUUUUUUUUAGAAAAAAAAACAAAAAAUAAUAUUGCAGACAUCAUCAGGACGAUUAAAGAAAAUCCCUUGUGCCUUCUGGUCACUCAGAAGAGGAAGAAUCAACAACACAAGACCGGCUCAUUCAGAAAUAGAUGCCUGUGGGUGGUACAGGAGUCAUGGAUCAUCAUGAAAAAGAUAUGUCACUAUGUUGACAUAUUGGCUUUAAGCAAUCUUAUUUCUGCUUUUUUUUUGCAUUGGCAUAUCCAUCUGGUUACACUGUGAUUCUCGAACAGACCAAAACCUGUUGCACAUGUUACUUGAUGCCUCUUAUUCCCAGAGAACACUAAAGGCUUUUAAUAAAAUAGGAAAUAUGGGUCUUAAAUAUAGCAUAAUACAAUAUAGAUUGUAUGAAGGUGAAACUGUUAUGACUAUUUUUUGUAAAAUCAGGAAAAGUUGCAACAAGUGUGAAAUCUUAAUAAUUCAAA